UUAUUGCUAUACUAGGUCCAACACCCAGUAAUGUAGCACCAAGCCCUUUGUACAAUCCAAAAAAGCCUUCAUCUCUACAAAUGGUACGAAGAGAGUGGCAGAUGCCCUGAUAGUAUAUGGUAUUCCUCUGUGCAGCUAAUCUUGUUCUGACAAGAUCUAACGGAUAAGUGGCAGCAGCUGCUGUAAUUCCAGCCAAUCCACCACCAACAAAGUGCACGAAAAUAUCCGCACCUGCAUAUCGCCCUUUACCAUCCAGACCAGGAAUUGAUUUCAAUAUAGUCUUGUAGCGUUCAUAAGCAUAGAAAUUGACUGAGGAAUAAGGAAGCCUGUGAGCAAUAGUG
rnacentral:misc_RNA from 1 species